rnacentral:rRNA from 1 species
UACAGAGGUCACGAGCGUUAUCCGGAUUUAUUGGGCGUAAAGCGUUUCGUAGGUGGAUUUGUAAGUUACCCUUCAAAGACUACGGCUCAACCGGAGGAAGGGGGGUAAUACUGUGAGUCUUUUGACAUUUGGUGGGGCUUCUGGAACUGAUGGUGUAGUAGUGAAAUACGUUGAUAUCAUCAGGAACUCCAAGGGCGAAGGCAGGAAGCUAACCAAUUUGUGACACUGAGGAACGACAGCUAGGG